UACGGGGGGGGCAAGCGUUGUUCGGAAUUACUGGGCGUAAAGGGCUCGUAGGUGGCCAACUAAGUCAGACGUGAAAUCCCUCGGCUUAACCGGGGAACUGCGUCUGAUACUGGAUGGCUUGAGUUCGGGAGAGGGAUGCGGAAUUCCAGGUGUAGCGGUGAAAUGCGCAGAUAUCAGGAGGAACACCGGUGGCGAAGGCGGGUCUCUGGGCCGAUACUGACGCUGAGGAGCGAAAGCAUGGGUAGCGAACAGG
rnacentral:rRNA from 1 species